GUGAAAUCAUAGUGUAAAUGCAGAUAAGAAGGCUGACUGCACUAUCACCAUGGGAGAUGAAGACUUAAUGAAGCUGAUGACAGGCAAGAUGAAUCCACAGACGGCAUUCUUCCAGGGCAAGCUGAAGAUCGCAGGAAACAUGGGCAUGGCCAUGAAGCUUCAGAGUCUGCAGCUGGURCCAGCCAAAGCCAAGCUGUGAUUGGCUGAUAGACCCUCAGCUCUGGAACUCCUGCCAUAUGUAGCAGUUAUGCACAUUCUCUCACCCCUCACCCC